GACACGCUGGGGAGCCCAGCAGCUGCAUACAAGUUCCGGUAAUCUCUGUUUCUGGCUGUGUGGUCUUGGGCAAGUCCACCCCCAAGAUGGCAUGGAGUGGCACUUUCCAGAACAUUCUGUGGGGAGAGGAACGCCUUCCAUUAGCACUGGCCAGAAUGGCGGCCACUCACCAUGUGCAGCUGUUGAGCAUGGUCAAAGGUCGGGUGCCGUUGAAGUAUGUUAGAACUUUGGAUUUCUGCCAGCUCCCAAUACAGUUGUGCUAAUUGGGCACUGCACAAGAGGACUACAACUAAAAUACUGCCAUUUAGAGUAAA